rnacentral:rRNA from 1 species
GACGAACGCUGGCGGCGUGCUUAACACAUGCAAGUCGAACGAUGAAGCCUAGCUGCUAGGCGGAUUAGUGGCGAACGGGUGAGUAAUACGUGAGUAACCUACCUUUAACUCUGGGAUAAGCCUGGGAAACUGGGUCUAAUACCGGAUACGACCAAUCUCCGCAUGGGGUGUUGGUGGAAAGCGUUAUGUAGUGGUUAUAGAUGGGCUCACGGCCUACCAGCUUGUUGGUGAGGUAACGGCUCACCAAGGCGACGACGGGUAGCCGGCCUGAGAGGGUGACCGGCCACACUGGGACUGAGACACGGCCCAGACUCCUACGGGAGGCAGCAGUGGGGAAUAUUGCACAAUGGGCGCAAGCCUGAUGCAGCGACGCCGCGUGAGGGAUGACGGCCUUCGGGUUGUAAACCUCUGUUAGCAGGGAAGAAGAGAAAUUGACGGUACCUGCAGAGAAAGCGCCGGCUAACUACGUGCCAGCAGCCGCGGUAAUACGUAGGGCGCGAGCGUUGUCCGGAAUUAUUGGGCGUAAAGAGCUUGUAGGCGGUUUGUCGCGUCUGCUGUGAAAGGCCGGGGCUUAACCCCGUGUAUUGCAGUGGGUACGGGCAGACUAGAGUGCAGUAGGGGAGACUGGAACUCCUGGUGUAGCGGUGGAAUGCGCAGAUAUCAGGAAGAACACCGAUGGCGAAGGCAGGUCUCUGGGCUGUAACUGACGCUGAGAAGCGAAAGCAUGGGGAGCGAACAGG